rnacentral:rRNA from 1 species
AGCGAACGCUGGCGGCAGGCUUAACACAUGCAAGUCGAGCGGGCAUCCUUGUGGUGUCAGCGGCAGACGGGUGAGUAACGCGUGGGAACGUGCCCUUCGGUUCGGAAUAACUCAGGGAAACUUGAGCUAAUACCGGAUACGUGCGAGAGCAGAAAGGUUUAUCUGCCGAAGGAUCGGCCCGCGUCUGAUUAGCUAGUUGGUGAGGUUAUGGCUCACCAAGGCGACGAUCAGUAGCUGGCCUGAGAGGAUGAUCAGCCACACUGGGACUGAGACACGGCCCAGACUCCUACGGGAGGCAGCAGUGGGGAAUAUUGGACAAUGGGGGCAACCCUGAUCCAGCCAUGCCGCGUGAGUGAUGACGGCCUUAGGGUUGUAAAGCUCUUUUCUCCGGGACGAUAAUGACGGUACCGGAGGAAUAAGCCCCGGCUAACUUCGUG